AUACAGGGGGUGCAAGCGUUGUUCGGAUUACUGGGCGUAAAGGGAGCGUAGGUGGAUCUACAAGACAGUGGUUAAAUCUCCGGGCUCAACCUGGAACUUGCCUUUGUGACUGUGGAUCUUGAGUAUGGUAGAGGUUGGCGGAAUUUCCGGUGUAGCGGUGGAAUGCGUAGAGAUCGGAAAGAACACCAGUAGCGAAGGCGGCUUUCUGGACUGUAACUGACACUGAGGCACGAAAGCGUGGGGAGC
rnacentral:rRNA from 1 species